GUAGUCUGCCAUACGCAGGAAGACCCGCUGAACUGAAGCAUCUCAUUAAGCGGAGGAAAAGAAACUAACUAGGAUUCCCUUAGUAAAGGCGAUCGAAAAGGGAACAGCCCAACGUCUUAAUCCCGCAAGGGAAAUGUAGUCGGUUCACCUAUUGCACUGGUCUAAGUCAGAUGGAAUGCUGCGCGAUUCAGAGUAAAAGCCUCGUAUGACCAACCGCAAGCUUACGAUGGACCGGGGAGAGUCGGAUACUUUGAGAGUAGUGUCUUAAGGGGGUGGUAUGUCCCAUCCAAGGCUAAAUAACGUGAGGAGACCGAUAGAUUACAAGUAGUGUGAACGAAAGAUGAAAAGAACUCUAAAACAGAGGGUGAAAAGUUCCUGAACUUGCUUAGGGUUAAGGCUAUUUAUAGUACCCGUCUUGAAACACGGAUUAGGGAGUUUAUCUGUAGUGCGAGUCUUUGCACGUUAACUGUAAAGGCGUAGAGAAAGCAACUGGCGUUUGCAUGGCUACUGAGCAUUACUGAUAGGACCCGAAAGGUGGUGAACUUUGCCUGCACAGGUUGAAGUCAGGGGAAACUCUGAUGGAGGACCGUACGGGUUAUUGAUGUGCAAAUCAUUUUUCUGAUGUAGGUAAAGGUGCGAAAGACUCAUCGAACCACCUAAUAGCUGGUUUCCUCCGAAGUUUCCCUCAGGAUAGCUGUAAUGCAUUUAGUUAAGGGGAGUAGAGAUAUGGGUAGAGGUGCAGGGAGCCUUCGGGUUCUCAACUUAUUUCCAAACUUCGAACCUCCCUUGGUAGGCAUUUACCUAACUGGAAAUGCUUAAAUGAAUUAGCGUUACAAGUGGGCUCUGACAGGUAAGCGGUCAUGGCGAA
rfam:Trichomonas vaginalis G3, whole genome shotgun sequence.